rnacentral:rRNA from 1 species
UACGUAGGUGGCAAGCGUUGUCCGGAAUUAUUGGGCGUAAAGCGCGCGCAGGCGGUCCUUUAAGUCUGAUGUGAAAGCCCACGGCUCAACCGUGGAGGGUCAUUGGAAACUGGAGGACUUGAGUACAGAAGAGGAAAGCGGAAUUCCACGUGUAGCGGUGAAAUGCGUAGAGAUGUGGAGGAACACCAGUGGCGAAGGCGGCUUUCUGGUCCGGUUCUGACGCUGAGGCGCGAAAGCGUGGGGAGCAAACAGG